GGUCCAGCCUGGCCUCGAACUCACAGAGAUCUGCCUGACUCGAGUGCUGGGAUUAAAAGUGUGCAUCACCACCGCCCAGCAAGACGUCCAGUUUUUGAGAAAGUGAAAAGUUCCUUACUUGAAGCCGGUUAGCGGUCGCGAAGAGCUUGUUGAAGUAGGAGCUUAUUGGUGCUGAGUGCAUUAGACGAGGACCUGUACAUAUCUUUAUCUUGCUUCCCAGAACAUGGUUUAUCUCUCAGUAUGCAAGGAUGAGUGAAUUUUACAGGCCCGUGCUCUUCAUUUCCAAAUAUUUCUUCCUCCCUUUGCUUGGACUGUAACUUUUAUGCAAAAGACUGAAGUCUUGCUCCAUAAAUGGACUUCCAAUUGUCCGAUUUACACCUGCACCCAGACACCCUGAAGCAUCUCAGCUAGACCUACUCAGAACCGAAUGUAUGAUGGCCUCCCUGUUUCCACCAUCAGUAUGAUCUGCCUCUGUGAGCCUUGGUUUAAGGCUUCCUUCAUUUGAUCAGCUGUAAUGUUUAUGUAGCCCAGCAGGCCUUGAACUGACAGUCUCCCCGUUCUACUUUCUGAUUACAGGUUGGUCUUGAAUUUUCUGUGUAGCUAAAGAUGACCUUGAAUUCCUAAUUCUCCUGACUCCAUCGCACAAAUGCUGGAAUUACAGGUAUGUGCCACCUGACUUGGCUGAACCAGGACUUUGUGUAUGCUUCUUCUGCUUCUCUCUGAGACAGGGUCUCUCCCUGAACCCGGGGCCAGCAAUUGCUUGACUAGGCUAGAAGUCAGAAAGCUCCCAGUUAUCCUCCUGCCUCUGUCACCUUCAGAGUUGAAGGUCUAGGAAAGCACAGGACUCUGAUUUGUUGGACCUGGGCUAGGAUCUGAACUCUUUUCCUCCUGGUUGUACAGUAAGCACUUUUAACUGCUGAACCAUCUCUCCAGCCCCCUCAUCCCUUUUAAAGAGAGAGUGCUGCUAUGUAGCCUAGACUAACCUUGAAGUCCAUACUAGACGAACUCUUGGGCCGGCAGUCUCCUGCAUGCUGGAGUUCCAGGCAUGGGCAGCCAUGCUCAAGUGUUUCCUCCCUUGUCUGGACAUCCAGCUGUUCUAAGCUGCCUGCACCUUCAGCUCACCCGUGUUUCACCUUUGCUCCAGGGUAGUGUUCCUGGAGACACCGAAGGCAUGAAUUCUUACUUUAUCUUAAAAGAAAGGGAAGAAAGCCAGGCACGGUGGCACAUUCUUCUAAUCCCAGUCUGAGACAGGAUGAAUGCUGUAAAUCGGAGGCCAACCUGGUCUGUUUAGGACAUUAUAGGCCAACCAGGGCUACACAGCGAGAGUUUGCUUAAAAAACAAACAAAAACAACAACAAAACCCACAUUGUUUAUAUUCGUUAAUGAGAAUUUAGCCAAAUGACUACACCCAGCUGCAAGAGAUAGUCUUCAUUUUGCUCUGUGGAAACUUGGGGCUGAUGUCACUAAAGACUCGUGGGAAAGGCACUGGGGCUGUAGCUCGCUUGGUGGGGCACUGGCUUAGCAUGCGCAAGGCCCGGGGUUCAGCUGAAGACAUGGCAGUGAUUGACUGUAAUCCCAGAAGCUGAGAGAUGGGGGGAUGGGAGUGUGGAGGCAAGGAUGUUAAUGUCAUCCUCAGCUACAUAGGCAGUUUGAGGCCAGCCAUGUGUAUGUGGGACCCUGUCAAUCAAUCAAUCAAACAAAAAUCCACCUGAGAAUGAUGGAAGAUAGACGCUCCUUUUGAACAGCUUGCACUGAUUCCCACAGAAUUAAUGUGUUUCUCAUCCUGGCGUCCCUGGCCGGCCAGUAUCAGGCUUCACCUUACUCUCGGGCCUUCUGUACAUGCAUUGUUGGCAGCUCUUGUAUCUCUUUGGACAACUCUAUUAGAAAGUUUCUUUGGACGGUCUUCAAUGGCAGUGCUCAGAAAACUAGAUAUCCAUAUUCAGCGAAUAAAGUUAGACCCCACACACUACAGAAAUCUAUCAAGAUGGACUAAGGCUUUUAAAAGAAAGACCUGAAAUGGUAAACUGCCAGAAGAGAGAGUUGCAAAGGUCAUUGAUAUAUUUCUGGGAUUUUUUAAAAUAUGACCCCCAAAUUGCAGGCAACAAUAGCAAAACUUGACCACUGAAAUGCCUUCAACUAGAAAACUACACUGCAAAGGAGACUACCAAGAAAGCAAAAGAAACAACCUAUAAAUGGGAGAAUGUGUUCUGCCUAGCUUUCUGUCAACUUGACACAAGAGUCCCUUUGAAAAGAAGGAGGAACCCUCAACAGAGCAAAUGCUCCGCCUUACCGACCUGUGGGCAAGCUUGUGGCUCGUUUCCUUGAUUACGGGUUGAUGGGAAAUGGCCCAGGCCGUGCCAUUCUGGGCAGGUGGUCCCAGAGUCUGAAAGAAAGCAGGCUGAGCAAGCCAUGAGGAGCAAGCCCGUAAGCAGCUCUCCUCCAUGGCCCCAGCUUCGGCUCCUGCCUCCCUGUUCCUGCCCUGAGUUCCUGCCUUGAUUUCACUCGAUGGAGCAUGACCUGAGAGUUCUGAUCUGAAGUAAGCCCUUCCCUCCAUGUUACCUUCGGUCAAGGUGUUUUAUAACAGCAAUAGGAAACAAAAUAAGACUGAUAUAUUUAAAAACUACAUAGUAAGGGGUUAAUUCUCCAAGAUGUAAAAAAUUCAAAGAACUCAAUAAUAAGAAAACCAGAUAACCUAACUAGAAAAUGGGGGAAGGAGUUAAAGACAUGUUUCUCAAAGACACAGAUGACCAUCGCUAGUCACCAGGGGAAACAAUGGCAAGAAGUGUCAUGUCUGUAAGAAGAGCUGCUGUUGUUGGAAGUGUCACGUCUAUAAGAAGAGCUGCUGUUGGACCAGCACUUGUGCUAUGACAUUUCCAGUGGAUAUCAAACUACUCGUGGGAGUCUGUCCUCUCCUUCUCGUGUGGAUUUGGGGGUGGAGCUCAGAUCGUCAGUGGCAGGCUGGAGAGAUGACUCAGCUGUUGUGUCAUUGGCUACUUACCUUGUCCUGCUUGGCUGAGACUCAGCCUGACUAGGGACAUGGGAGAGAUGACAGAACAAGCAAGAAAAGCUGGGCUCAGGUGGGCUGUGCCCAUCGGGAUGGAGCUGCACCAGCUGUGCAGCAACCUGGAACCUCAGCUGUAAAUGUCAUGGAGGGGGUAGCUGCAGUCACACUGGUCAAUUGUUCAUAAACAAUCAUACUUGCACACAUUGUCAAGGUCCCGCACAGACAUGCAUAUGCACAACACAUCUGUAAACAUAAAAUCAACAAGUAAACUUAAAUUUACUUUUUUCUUUAUCUUUGAGAAUUUCACACAUGUCUGUAAUGAAAUAUGAUUAUAUAUACUCCCUGUUUCCUUGAACUUCCCCCAUAUGUCCCCAACAAGUCUACAAUGAACUUCAUGUCUAUAUAUGUGUGUGUGUGUGUAGACAUACAUUUACAUACAUACAUAUACAUAUAUAUAUUCAUUAAAUCCAGUUAGUGCUGCCUAUAUAUGCACAGAUGUGAGGGCAUCCACCGGAGCAUGGGAAUCCUAUCAUCAGCCUCACUUACUACAGAGAAUGAUUCUCUUUCCCCAGAGACUAUCAGCUGCCAACAGCUGCCUGGUAGGGGUGGGGCCCAGAGAAUGUCUACCUCGUUUAUACUGGGAUUUUGACUGGCUUGAUCUUAUGCUGUCGAUUAUGAAAGCACAGCACUGUAGCUGCUUGCAUCUAUAUGCUUAUAUUGUUCCAGUUAAUAAAGGAAAGACAUGUAGUGACCAAAUGCAGUGGAAUCUAGACCACAGGGAACUAAGCGUAAUCAUGACCCAGCUGGGAAACUUUAUGGACUAGACGUGGGAUUCAAGGCAGCCAGGGUCCUGGGUCACUGUGCAGAGCUAAAGAAAAUGUCUUUAAGUCGUGAGUGACCGUAAUGGAAAUCCUUCCUAGUUUAAAUAGUGUGCGAUUCAGAGACUUUUGGCAACUUCAGCUUCUAUGAAGAAAUGACAGUGAUGAUCUGAUGUGAAAAGUUGUAAGUGGUUAUCCAACUCCAGUUUUCAAACUGGUUCUCCAACCAAUGAAUAGAGCUCACCCGAGGGAGGCAGAAGCCUCUGAACAGGUCUACACGUGGCCUGUAUACUGAGCCUUAACCGUUACCAUCAUACCAGGCUUACUACUCACACAGAACGCACACGAGUCCCCCAGGAAUUGUAGUGCAGUCCUCCUAGGACAGAUGUCCAUCAUCGGCCCACCCCAGAUAUGAGGGGCAAGCAUGGCUGGGGUCAGCAAAGCUGUCUACCCCCACCGCCGCCCCACCCAUGGCUGUGGAACAUCUGAGGUGGCACCUGUCUGAGGGUACUAUGGGCAGGCUUUUGGAGGCUUCUCCUGCCUUUCCCAUUCCUUGUCUGCUGGGAUGUGAACAGCCUCAGCCACUCUCUCCUGCCUCUAGGAACUGAUCUGAGUGUCUUCACCAUGCCUCUCCAAAGUGAUGGAGUGAAAACUUCUGAAACUGUUAGUCAAGAUACAUCUUCCCCAGGGCUGGAGAGUCGGCUCUGCAGUUAAAGUCUGCUCUUUCAGAGAACCAGAGUUUGGUUCCCAGCACCCACACUGGGCAGCUCACACCUGCCUGCAACUCCAGCUCUGUGGGAUCUGAUGCCCUCUUCUGGCCUCUGGGGCCACUUGUACCCUCUAGACAUGUGACCACGUGACUCAUACACUAAGGUAUGCACACACACACACACAGACAGACACCACACAAUUUUAAAAAAUCUUUUAAAAAAUGAGUAACUCUCCUUCCUUACUCUGUUUACAUCAGAUAUUUUGGUUACAGGGGAAGAAAUAUAACUUACCACAGAACAUAUAUAAAAGUUCACUUGGGGAAAUUCCUCUGUGACAAAAAAUAAUGACGAGGGUGCUGUAAGGAAACAGUUGUCAAAAGGCAGAACAAAUCUGCCCCCAAGUGAAGGGAACCAGGAAGAAAAGCUGAAGAAACACACCCCAGUCUGUCAUGCAGUGAGGGAGGGACAGCUGUUGGGAAGCCUCAAGCCAGUGUCAAAGAAGCCGCAGGAACAGGAGGACCUACCACCCUCAUGCUGAGAGAAACUUGCAGGAAGCACGGACUUGGCACACACGCGGCCAUGGAUUUCAGCGACAUUAACUGGUCAUUUUGACCGGCUUUUCAGGGGGCUGCCAUAGUUGGACAGAAUUUCUGCAGUGAGGUUUUACUCUCAUGGUGUCACUGUUCCUGGGAGGACAUAAACAAAUGUCUGCUCACCCCAGAGAGUGAACUGACAAAAGACCAAAGUAGGGAUACAAUCAGUGUCCACCUUGGGCAGCCAGUGAGUCUCCCUGGGGUUAUUUAUAGGAGCAGGAGUGACUCAAAGACAGCUGCAUCACCAGAAUCUACCCCCCUCACCCCCGGCAUGGAUGAAAACUCACAAAAGCUGGAAGCCUGAAGCUCCCCGUACAGCCUGCAGCCAGCUCAGCAGGCGGGAGAGCGUCCGCUCCUGGUGGCUCUGGGUUCCAGCCUCUUUGUCCCUCCGCAGUUCUCCCUGCUUCUGUGUGGUUACGGAGGGGAGCCUAGUGAAUAUGGUCCUGAAGCCAUCGAAUUAUUUACUUCUUGAGCCAAAUGAGCUUCUCUGAAGGAUGGAAUGCCUCCCCUCUCCUGUAACAUUCUGUGUCUUAAACUUCCCUCCGGUGAGGAGGGUUUUAAUCUCAGAAGACACUUGUCUGCUCACUGUACAACAAUUGCUUUUUUUUUUUUCAUAUGGGCGGUUCUGCCUCCCAGGGGGCAUUUUGGAAAUGCCUGUGGUCAGAGACAUUUCCAAGGCACAUGGAGAGGACUUUAGAGAUCUUUUCAGAACUUUGGAUUUCACUGUGACUGACGGAGAGAGCCAUUUGAGAGUUUGGAGUCUUCUUGACUGACUUUGAAGAAGCAGACUGCACGAGAUAUGAGAGUAGAAGCAGGGAGACCUGCCAGGCAGCUGCCGUGAUUGUCAAAGGCAGAGGAGCUUGGGGUCACGGAGAUAGGAGAUGGUGGCACACCGUCACCUCUGGAUGUGUUUGUAAGAUAGAGCCAGCAGGACUUGCUAAAAGAUUGGGUCUAGGAUGUGAGAGCAGGACUUGCUAAAAGAUUGGGUCUAGGAUGUGGGAAGAAAGUCUUCCCUGGGAUCUCACUUAACUAUUUCACAUAGUAGGGCUCCCUCUGUGAUACAGAACUGUUGCUACAGCAAAGGAGAGAGGUGGAGUCUCACACUGGCCAUGAAGCACAUUUCUCAGCCAAAGACAGUCAUGUGAUGAUGAAUUUCAAGUGGUUGAGGAAGGGCUAUUCUGUUAGGUGUUUGGGAAAGAAGAAACAUUGGUAAAUAACACUAGCACCUACUGGAAAUAGAAAUAAAUGAUAGAGAAUCAUGGGCACCUACUGGAUACAGAGCUAUAUGAUAGACAAUCACUGGGCACCUACUGGAUACAGAGCUAUAUGAUAGAGAAUCAUGGGCACCUACUAGAUACAGAGCUAUAUGAUAGACAAUCACUGGGCACCUACUGGAUACAGAGCUAUAUGAUAGAGAAUCAUGGGCACCUACUGGAUACAGAGCUAUAUGAUAGACAAUCACUGGGCACCUACUGGAUACAGAGCUAUAUGAUAGAGAAUCAUGGGCACCUACUGGAUACAGAGCUAUAUGAUAGACAAUCACUGGGCACCUACUGGAUACAGAGCUAUAUGAUAGAGAAUCAUGGGCACCUACUGGAAAUGGAGCUAUACGAUAGAGAAUCGUGGGCAUACGAGAUUUAAAGCUGUGGAACUGACAGAGGUGACCAGGAAAUGUAGAGACAAUAAGAACUUCAAGGACAUAGCCCUAGGGAACUUCACAAUCUAGAGUUCAUCAAUUCAGUUGACAUGACAAGCUUAAAAUAAUCGUUCUGCUUCCUUUGGUUACACAAAUGAUCAUAACUCUAGGAUGAAGUAAUAAGCCGACAACACUGAUAAGCUAUGUAAGUGUAACAUUUCAAUCUUUGUGUUACUCAUGGAUCUCUCUGUGUGUUAUGUGGUGCAUACACAUGCAUAUGCAGAGGUAGGUGCUUCUGUGUGCAUGUGCAGAAGCCAGAGAAGUGGUACGGGGCAGCCUCUAUCACUCUCUACCGUGUUCCUUUGAGGCAGGAUCUCUCUUUGAACCCAGAGCUCAUGUUGUUUGGCGAAGCUGGCAGCUGGCCCUCCUGUCUUUGCUCCCCACAGGACUGUGAAAGACCAUUACUCCUUUGUCACACAGGUAUUGAGAUCUGAACCCAGGUCCAAAUAGUUUCUCAGCAAGCACUCUUAACCAUUUUUUUUCCAGCCACUAAUUUUUUGUUUUGUUUAAAAUGAGACUUUAAAUAUGAAGAUUACCUGGUUUACUUAUGAAUUUUGUAAAUCAGCUUUCCUAGAGUCAUAAGGUUUCGUUCAUUAGAUUUAUAAGUCUGAUUUUGAUGUUUGAAGUUCUUACAUAUAAUUCAGUUAUGUUAUAUUUGUGCCUGUGGUUUGAGAUCUCUAAAGGAAUUUGAUCAAGCUUACUAGGUCUAUAAGUAAAUAAACUCUUUAGGUUGAACUUAAAGGCUUUUACAAACGCUAAUAGUAUCAAAUCCUCUUGGAGCACUCUACCCUAGUGAGAAGCUCAUCCUGUGCCUGUCUCCCCACCAUGACUGUGUCAGGAGAGCAGCUAGUCAACUUGUGGGGACGCAGGGUCCCUUGGGCACUUGUUACUAUACCUCUAGGACUAGCUCUGAAGCGCUGUUGGACAUCUCUUUGUUGUUGGUCCCUGUUCUGAUGGGCCUGUCUUUCAUCCUGAUGGAUGAGGUCUUUUUCUGAUGAACUGAGAUUGAAUGAGUUAAGCAUUUUUAACGUUACUGGCUAUUUGAGAUCAUGGUCACGCUCCACGCAGUGUCCUUUAGCUGCAAAUCACCAUUCAUCUGAGGCAAAUAUUAUCCUUGUCAGCGAGACCUCCUGUUGACAGCUCUCCCAGUAACCUUGGGUCUGUUCAUGUUCAAGGACUUCUGAGCCCCCCAAGUGAGUCAACAGUGAGUCCCUUUGCUGGGACCAUCCAUCUUCCAGUUCAUAGCAACUGGCAAAACUGUUAGGAGCUUUCUUGACACUAUUGUAUGGUAUGGGGUGAUUGGGCAGGGUAGCAGAAUUGUUCAAUGGCUUCCUGUCCCACCCUCCAUAUGGAUAGUGUGGUGACUUGUGUAGCUAGAGGGUGUGGCAGUUUAUUGACCAGUGGUGCUGUGGCAUGGCUGGUUUAUGAACGGUGCAGCAGUGUGUGGAGUGAGGAGGGAGAUGCGUCUGUGUCCUCUGUAUCACACCUGUGCUCUGUGAUCUUCAGCUCACGUAACCAUUGGGUGCCUUGUUUUAUCUACAAAAUAAUGGCUAACAGCUCCCUGGUAUUGAUGAGGAUCAAAUCAAAUGAGGCAGGCACACAAACUAAUUACAACACCUUUUUUUUCUUAUGAUCCAAGGCCUUGCUGUGGUCUGGCUGGGUAGCCGCAUGGUCCAAGGUUACCUCAGACAAUGGUCCUUUAACUUGGUAAAAUGCUUAGUAAGUAUUAAAUAAUUAUAUGCUUUUAUUAUUAUUUUUUGUCACCUGUUUGAGUUACUUCAAAUUAGCUAGUAUGCCAGAAUAAAGGGGGUGUGGGGGGCCCAUAUCCUUAUUCUAUUCAAUGAAAAAUAAUUUGAAUUCUGGCUCAUAAUUCAUUUGAAUAAGGCAAGGAAGAAUCCAAGCAUUACUGUGUAAUGGGGGAAAUUUUCAGAUCCAAUUCCUUGUUUUCUUUUCUUAAUUCCCUGUGUUUUAGCUGAGUCUUCCUGAACUCUCAUUGCCUUGAUGAAUUCUGGGGAUGAGUCACCAGGCACAGGCAGGCACUUGCAGGAGACAGGUGCUCAAAACUCCCAGCUUCUCCAUGGAAGGUCGUUGCUGUUCAUCAGGAAGAGGUCUGGGCAUUUAGCCCAGCUGGUAUCUGACCUUGGUCCUUGGCAAGCAUCUUCUGUGAGUUCUGUGAGUUUGGUAUGUGGCAGAAGUAGGCAGGUUCUCUUCAUUCCACCCUAUCCUACUUCCUCCCACACCCACAGCCGGCAUGAAGGCCACCAGUCUCUCUCUUAAAUCACUUGCGUGUUUAGACUUCCCAAGUCAUGCUGACUAAGACACUACUGUGAACCAAAGCCAGAUCUUUGUUUCUAUUCUUGCAUGUAAGUAUGCAUGUACACAAGAUAAUGAUGGAUGGUAUAUUGGUUGGGCCUCAAAUCCAGGGCCACACCCAGCCCCCAGAUCCUUACCUGGACAUGAAAAGCACAGGGAAAUCAUUUGACAGUAUGUAAAGAGCAAUCCGUCUGCACAGGAGGCAAAGUAAGCUUCAAUAGUGUGGAGUCAUGAUGAUGAUGUGUAUUUUUAAUAUGCUAAGAGUGGCCUUUAGUCCUGUAGUGCCCUCUUUAAACCCAUGACUCCUGUCUCAUCAUGACUCAAACAGCAGACCUAUCCAAAGGAGGGGAUACAAAAUGCAAGGGGGGGCGGGGCUAAGGAGAUGCAGUGAGCAACUACAUAGAAUGGGGUCCCAAACUGGACCCUGGAGAGCACCGAGUGUAAUCAAAGCAUAUGCAAAUGAAGUACGGGAUAUAGCUGCUGCUGGCUGGUCAACCGUGAAAGGGAGGCCACCAGUGUGAGAUGUUGAUGACAGGGGAAGUGGGUGUGGGGACAGGGGGAUUCUUUGCAUUGUCUUUGGCAGAUUUUAAAUGAAUCCAAAAGCACCCUAAGAUUGAAAUUAUUGCUUUUAGAGCUCUGUGCAGGGGAAACUAACAGCGCAGCACCUUGGCCUGUCGGCUGUGGUUGUCCCUGGGAGCGGGAAGGAGGUGAGAGCUGGCCUAUUGGGCCCCUGAUGGGUGUGGGACGGAGUGGAGAAGGCAGUCAGGCCUUGUCCUGCGGGGAAGAUGGGACACGCUUCUACUGUAUCUGGCUUUCUUUCAAUGCACGUGACCCACUUUCACAUUCUGAUUCUUCAUGAAUUAAAAAUGAUAUACAAGAUCUGGAUGUAGUAAUGGACCCCUGCAGUCCCAGCACUUGAAAUGUGGAGGAAAGAGGAUCAGAAAUUCAAGGCUACCCUGGGCCAGGUGACACUGUGUCUUUAAACAAAGCAAACUAAAACUAACCCAAAAAGUAACUUCAAGGUUGUUGGUUUUUUUCCUUUAGAGUAAAUAUUUUAACUCAAUUUUAGAGUAAAAGCAUAUAUAUAUAUAUAUAUAUAUAUACUGAUAUAUAUAUAUAUGUAUAUAUAUGUAUGUAUAUAUCAGUUUUGAACCUAUUGCUUCCUACUUAGGCUGCUAAUUUUCACUUCCAAAUUCCCAGUAAUACAUAGAAACACAGCACACACCUAGUGGAUAACUCUUGCCAAAUAUGACCCAGGCUGUCUUCAAACUCAUGACCCUCUUGCUCAAGCCACUGUGUGCGGCACUCUAAGCUAGCUGGGCCAUCACACCAGGUUUCACAACAUUUGUUAUAGUUUUGUUUUGUUUUAAGCAACACACGAUCUGACCUAGAAGGACUGAUUGGAAAGGUUUUAGCACGCGCGCACGCGCGUGCGUGCGCGUGUGUGUGUGUGUGUGUGUGUGUGUGUGUGUGUGUGUGUGUCACUGAGACUGAACAUAGGUACUCAUACACGCUAGACAAAUUGCUCUGCCCCUGAGUUUUCCCCAGCCUGGAAAGUCUUUCUCUCAUUACAGACUGGGACUCCUUCCACAAUUGAAGCCUUCACUCUUCUUAUCAACGCUGUCCCACAUCCUGAGUGAGAUUAGUUCUCUUUGUCUGCAUUCAGUUCUAAAUGAUUUGAUUUCUUAACUAAUUAACUUAUUUUUACGUGUCUGUGUGUGUUUUACCUGCACGUAUGUGCACGAUGUGAGUGCAGUGACUGGAGAGGCCAGAAGAGGGCGUAAGAUCCUGUGGAACUGGAAUUGCAGAUGGGUGUAAGUUCCGAGUGGGUGCUGGGAAUUGAACCCAGUUCUUCUGCAGCCAGAACUCUUCACCUCUGAACCAUCUCAGGCACUAAAUUAUUUCAUUUUUUUAAUGUAAAGAUAGGGCCUGUUACUUACUGAAUACUAUGAGCUUGUUAUAAAGACAUAAAAAGCACUGCCAACCAUAAUCUUGUCUUCUUACAUUUCAUCGAUUCAUGUGUAUAUGUAUAAUAAAUUUUUAAAAAGCACAUAAAGAUUAUCCGCUGUGGGCGGAACAACCCCUUCCUCCCUGUCUCUCUUAAAAUCCAGGCCUUUGUGAGUGUGUUCAACCACUGAGCCACAAUCCCCGCUCUACCCAGAGUGCUUGAAAGCACACAUUGCUAGGAAACUACUCUGUGUGUCCCACAGCUCGGCUUACAAAAAGGCAACUGAGGCAAUUCUGGGCAUAAGAGACUUCAAAAUAAAUCAGCUGGUAACUUCUGGGAGACUCUCCUCAUCACACUAAGGAAGAAGUAGUUGCUGGUCCUCUACUAGAUGCUGCUUUCUCUGAACUGAACCAUGUUUAUAUGGAAGCCCUAGCUGGCGUGUUGACUACAGUCUUCUUGUAAGGAUAUGAUUGGAGAUGGUUUGUUCAUGUCAAUAAACCAUGGUCUUCUCAGUUCUGCAGCUGAGAACAUCUUGA